rnacentral:rRNA from 1 species
GAUGAACGCUAGCUACAGGCUUAACACAUGCAAGUCGAGGGGCAUCAGUUGGUUGCUUGCAAACCAAAGCUGGCGACCGGCGCACGGGUGAGUAACACGUAUCCAACCUGCCUCAUACUCGGGGAUAGCCUUUCGAAAGAAAGAUUAAUAUCCGAUAGCAUAUAUUUCCCGCAUGGGUUUAUAUUAAAGAAAUUCGGUAUGAGAUGGGGAUGCGUUCCAUUAGUUGUUGGCGGGUAAGGCCCACCAAGACUACGAUGGAUAGGGGUUCUGAGAGGAAGGUCCCCCACAUUGGAACUGAGACACGGUCCAAACUCCUACGGGAGGCAGCAGUGAGGAAUAUUGGUCAAUGGACGCGAGUCCGAACCAGCCAAGUAGCGUGAAGGAUGACUGCCCUAUGGGUUGUAAACUUCUUUAUAUGGGAAUAAAGUGGUCCACGUGUGGAUUUUUGUAUGUACCAUAUGAAUAAGGAUCGGCUAACUCCGUGCCAGCCGCCGCGGUAAU